GUCUAUGGCCAUACCACCCUGAAUACACUAGCUCUUGUCUGAUCUCAGAAGCUAAGCAGGGUCGGGUCUGUUUAGUUGUUGGGGGACCACCUGGGAAUACUGGGUGCUUUAGGCU
rnacentral:rRNA from 1 species